GUAGGUGCAGUCCAACGUUCGCCUGUGGGAACCGAGCAGGAUCGACUCUAAAUCAACUGCUCCAGUCCGCCCGUGGUUAGGGUUGGCGACGCCAUCAGUCUGCGCUGGGAGGGUCCUUUCGGGGUCGACCAGCAGCUCCUCUAGGGAGUCCACAGAUCAAACGACGGCGGCCACGGGAUCGUGGUUUAGAUAUGAUCGGCCCCAGCCAUCAUUGGCUGGCGAUAUGAUAGCGGAACCUGCGGAAGGAUCAUUAAUGAGAGGGGUUCUCGGACUCCGGGGGCUUCGGCCCCCAACUCUUCACCCCAUGUUUACGUCCCUUUGUUGCCUUGGCGGGUCUCGGGGUUCGCCUCGUACCGGCUGUUCCGCGCCCGUCUGUGGCCCAUCAAACCUUGUCCAUUAGUGUCGUCCGAGUUAAAUUAUAAUAGUAAAAACUUUCAACAACGGAUCUCUUGGUUCUG
rnacentral:misc_RNA from 1 species